GAUGAACGCUGGCGGCGUGCUUAACACAUGCAAGUCGAACGAUGAAGCCCAGCUUGCUGGGUGGAUUAGUGGCGAACGGGUGAGUAACACGUGAGUAACCUGCCCUUAACUCUGGGAUAAGCCUGGGAAACUGGGUCUAAUACCGGAUAGGAGCGCCUACCGCAUGGUGGGUGUUGGAAAGAUUUAUCGGUUUUGGAUGGACUCGCGGCCUAUCAGCUUGUUGGUGAGGUAAUGGCUCACCAAGGCGACGACGGGUAGCCGGCCUGAGAGGGUGACCGGCCACACUGGGACUGAGACACGGCCCAGACUCCUACGGGAGGAAGCAGUGGGGAAUAUUGCACAAUGGGCGCAAGCCUGAUGCAGCGACGCCGCGUGAGGGAUGACGGCCUUCGGGUUGUAAACCUCUUUCAGUAGGGAAGAAGCGAAAGUGACGGUACCUGCAGAAGAAGCACCGGCUAACUACGUGCCAGCAGCCGCGGUAAUACGUAGGGUGCGAGCGUUAUCCGGAAUUAUUGGGCGUAAAGAGCUCGUAGGCGGUUUGUCGCGUCUGUCGUGAAAGUCCGGGGCUUAACCCCGGAUCUGCGGUGGGUACGGGCAGACUAGAGUGCAGUAGGGGAGACUGGAAUUCCUGGUGUAGCGGUGGAAUGCGCAGAUAUCAGGAGGAACACCGAUGGCGAAGGCAGGUCUCUGGGCUGUAACUGACGCUGAGGAGCGAAAGCUUGGGGAGCGAACAGGAUUAGAUACCCUGGUAGUCCAUGCCGUAAACGUUGGGCACUAGGUGUGGGGACCAUUCCACGGUUUCCGCG
rnacentral:rRNA from 1 species